rnacentral:rRNA from 1 species
GAGUUUGAUCCUGGCUCAGGACGAACGCUGGCGGCGCGCCUAACACAUGCAAGUCGAACGAGCGAGAGAGAGCUUGCUUUCUCGAGCGAGUGGCGAACGGGUGAGUAACGCGUGAGGAACCUGCCUCAAAGAGGGGGACAACAGUUGGAAACGACUGCUAAUACCGCAUAAGCCCACGACCCGGCAUCGGGUAGAGGGAAAAGGAGCAAUCCGCUUUGAGAUGGCCUCGCGUCCGAUUAGCUAGUUGGUGAGGUAAUGGCCCACCAAGGCGACGAUCAGUAGCCGGUCUGAGAGGAUGAACGGCCACACUGGAACUGAGACACGGUCCAGACUCCUACGGGAGGCAGCAGUGGGGAAUAUUGGGCAAUGGGCGCAAGCCUGACCCAGCAACGCCGCGUGAGGGAAGAAGGCUUUCGGGUUGUAAACCUCUGUCCUUGGUGACGAAGGAAGUGACGGUAGCCAAGGAGGAAGCCCCGGCUAACUACGUGCCAGCAGCCGCGGUAAUAC